UCUUGCUGCCUUGCCUUGGAGAGUGUGUGUGUGGCAUGCAAGUCCAGAAAACACUGCCUGCAGCCAAGAGCCUCCUCUAGAGUAAGAAACAGAACUAACCUCUUUGCCUUGGAGAGUGUUGUGUGCAGCCUGCCUGCAGCCAAGUGUCUCUCCUCUAGAGAAGAGAAACAGAGCGCUCUCUCAACCAGAAGGCCUUUCCUCCAAACCACCAAAAGUUGCUGAGCAUUUUCCAGUAGCUGAGGUUUCCUUCCCGUCGAUGUGGGUGGCGAGUCCAAAGCAAAAAAAAAUCCCUACAUGGCUACAAAUAAAAAGCAGAGGAAAAUGAA